CCUACGGGAGGCAGCAGUGAGGAAUAUUGGACAAUGGGCGCAAGCCUGAUCCAGCCAUGCCGCGUGCAGGAAGAAGCAUCUAUGGUGUGUAAACUGCUUUUGUACAGGAAGAAACACUCCCUCGUGAGGGAGCUUGACGGUACUGUAAGAAUAAGGACCGGCUAACUCCGUGCCAGCAGCCGCGGUAAUACGGAGGGUCCGAGCGUUAUCCGGAAUCAUUGGGUUUAAAGGGUCCGUAGGCGGUUUAAUAAGUCAGUGGUGAAAUCUGGUCGCUCAACGAUCAAACGGCCAUUGAUACUGUUAGACUUGAAUUAUAAGGAAGUAACUAGAAUAUGUAGUGUAGCGGUGAAAUGCUUAGAUAUUACAUGGAAUACCAAUUGCGAAGGCAGGUUACUACUUAUGGAUUGACGCUGAUGGACGAAAGCGUGGGGAGCGAACAGGAUUAGAUACCCUGGUAGUCCACGCCGUAAACGAUGGAUACUAGCUGUUCGGAGCAAUCUGAGUGGCUAAGCGAAAGUGAUAAGUAUCCCACCUGGGGAGUACGUUCGCAAGAAUGAAACCUUAANAGUAGUAGUAGAGNGAGAGAGACGACGACGACGACGACGGAGGGAGGAG
rnacentral:rRNA from 1 species